rnacentral:rRNA from 1 species
GACAGAGGGUGCAAACGUUGUUCGGAAUUACUGGGCGUAAAGCGUGCGCAGGCGGUUUUGUAAGCCAGAUGUGAAAUCCCCGGGCUUAACCUGGGAAUGGCAUUUGGGACUGCAAGGCUCGAGUGCGGCAGAGGGGGAUGGAAUUCCGCGUGUAGCAGUGAAAUGCGUAGAUAUGCGGAGGAACACCGAUGGCGAAGGCAAUCCCCUGGGCCUGCACUGACGCUCAUGCACGAA